UUGAACGCUGGCGGCAGGCCUAACACAUGCAAGUCGAACGGUAACAGGAAGCAGCUUGCUGUUUCGCUGACGAGUGGCGGACGGGUGAGUAAUGUCUGGGAAACUGCCUGAUGGAGGGGGAUAACUACUGGAAACGGUAGCUAAUACCGCAUAACGUCGCAAGACCAAAGAGGGGGACCUUCGGGCCUCUUGCCAUCGGAUGUGCCCAGAUGGGAUUAGCUAGUAGGUGGGGUAACGGCUCACCUAGGCGACGAUCCCUAGCUGGUCUGAGAGGAUGACCAGCCACACUGGAACUGAGACACGGUCCAGACUCCUACGGGAGGCAGCAGUGGGGAAUAUUGCACAAUGGGCGCAAGCCUGAUGCAGCCAUGCCGCGUGUAUGAAGAAGGCCUUCGGGUUGUAAAGUACUUUCAGCGGGGAGGAAGGGAGUAAAGUUAAUACCUUUGCUCAUUGACGUUACCCGCAGAAGAAGCACCGGCUAACUCCGUGCCAGCAGCCGCGGUAAUACGGAGGGUGCAAGCGUUAAUCGGAAUUACUGGGCGUAAAGCGCACGCAGGCGGUUUGUUAAGUCAGAUGUGAAAUCCCCGGGCUCAACCUGGGAACUGCAUCUGAUACUGGCAAGCUUGAGUCUCGUAGAGGGGGGUAGAAUUCCAGGUGUAGCGGUGAAAUGCGUAGAGAUCUGGAGGAAUACCGGUGGCGAAGGCGGCCCCCUGGACGAAGACUGACGCUCAGGUGCGAAAGCGUGGGGAGCAAACAGGAUUAGAUACCCUGGUAGUCCACGCCGUAAACGAUGUCGACUUGGAGGUUGUGCCCUUGAGGCGUGGCUUCCGGAGCUAACGCGUUAAGUCGACCGCCUGGGGAGUACGGCCGCAAGGUUAAAACUCAAAUGAAUUGACGGGGGCCCGCACAAGCGGUGGAGCAUGUGGUUUAAUUCGAUGCAACGCGAAGAACCUUACCUGGUCUUGACAUCCACGGAAGUUUUCAGAGAUGAGAAUGUGCCUUCGGGAACCGUGAGACAGGUGCUGCAUGGCUGUCGUCAGCUCGUGUUGUGAAAUGUUGGGUUAAGUCCCGCAACGAGCGCAACCCUUAUCCUUUGUUGCCAGCGGUCCGGCCGGGAACUCAAAGGAGACUGCCAGUGAUAAACUGGAGGAAGGUGAGGAUGACGUCAAGUCAUCAUGGCCCUUACGACCAGGGCUACACACGUGCUACAAUGGCGCAUACAAAGAGAAGCGACCUCGCGAGAGCAAGCGGACCUCAUAAAGUGCGUCGUAGUCCGGAUUGGAGUCUGCAACUCGACUCCAUGAAGUCGGAAUCGCUAGUAAUCGUGGAUCAGAAUGCCACGGUGAAUACGUUCCCGGGCCUUGUACACACCGCCCGUCACACCAUGGGAGUGGGUUGCAAAAGAAGUAGGUAGCUUAACCUUCGGGAGGGCGCUUACCACUUUGUGAUUCGUGACUGGGGUG
rnacentral:rRNA from 1 species